GCUAGAAUAUGAAUGAGUUGUGUGGCACUGGGGCUGUUUGCAAGUUCAUGCUAAAAUUUGAUUCCCCAAUCCAAGAAUACCGUUGAUGCAGAAUUAAAUCAGUAUCGUCUUUUAAAGUGCCCUACAAAAGAGCUUGGUAAUUAGAGCAAUGAGCACCUUUGCCCUGACAAGUGGUUCUAUGCAGGAAGACACAGCUCAGACCCCAUCAUCCCUCCUGGGAGAAGCAGGAGAUCUCUCUCACCAGGGUCAUACCAUCAGGCAUUGUCAUGCAUUACGUAAGGAAAUCCCUUCUCAGUGGCUCCUGUGAAAGCCAGGAAAGUUUUAUGCAACACACAUGGAGACUGAAUGGGACUUCUUGAGGGAUUUGGGCAUGAUGACUGGACCUCCCUGGUUGUAAAUUCUCCAAUAUUUGAUGACUCCAGUGUCAGCAGCGAAAUGAUGCAUAAUAAACACAACAAUGCAUUAUCCACAGUUUCUUGAUUUGGUGCCCAGUCAGGGAAGGAAGCAGUCUACUUUUGAAUGGAUUUUCAGAAAUAAUACACAGGCGGUGUCUAUUGGAAAGAUCUGAAGAGGAAAAUUGAAGCUUGCUUUUCAUGCUACAGUCUCCAAAUUAUCCUUUGAAACUGACAGUCGUGAGUGACGUGGACCCAUGUCCCACCAUCACUGGGUUGGUAUCAGAAAGAGCAGAGUAUUCUAGCUUUCAUCUGGCUGGGGAAAAGGAAACAGAGUUUAUUUUGAGCAGGAAAGGAAAAAAAAAAGGUAUUUGAUGAAAGCCAAAGAAACAAGCUACCCAAAUCCUUUGAGGAAGAAGAAACAAAGGAAGUGGGUUUGUGGAAUAACACACAGACCUAAAAAUAGUGUUUCAAUAAUUCGCUAAUUGUUCCAUUUUAUCUAGAACAAUAUUUUUGCAAAAUCCAAAAGCUCACUUUAGAAGGGAAAAAAAAAAACUAUUUUAAGGGCUGCCUAUGAUGAAAUGGUAUUUUUCAGGCACGAAGGAAAUUGUAAGACAAAUAAUAAGAAAGCACCACAUGGGGGUGCAUGCCCAGCUCUGCCCAUGGCAGCUGCCUCCCUGUCUGCACCCAAAUCAAAGACAUGAUUUGUUGCCAGGGACCUGAGUUGUGACGGAGUUCAACACUGGCAUUUUAUAGUUUAUGAGUUUAAAACUGUGAAAUGAGUUCCACAAGGUCAUGCUUAAGUUGUCUUUCUAUUGUCUAAAUGGCAAAAGGAUGGAAGCAAAAGAGGCCAUAUUGUAAGCCCUCUCCACCUGAAAAAUGAUGACUGUAACUCUAGCCUUUUGGUAGGGCAGUUCCCUAGGGAACACACAGCUCUGGGUUCAAUAUCUGAUGUUACAAAAUAAAUGAAUCACUCAAAGACUUCCUAUAAAGAAAAUGGUCAUGAUUGUGGCUCCUGAAUCCAUGCAUCCAUUAAACCACACUCUUAGAAACCCAAGAAGCACAUGUGGAUAAAGUUUCCAAGGACAAGAACAUCAUUUUUUUUAAAAUAAGGUAUUAUUACAGCUAGACUUGCUUUAUUUAAAAUCAGCCUGGCCACAAAGCUGCUCCUUGAAGAAAUGUCAGUGAAAAACUACAUUCUACUGUAAAGCCACCAUAACUAAACUCAGUAAACUAAACACACACACACAACAUCAAAAUAUGACUGAUUAGAAAGGAGGCAAGCAGCUAGGUGGGGGUAAUGGGAGGUGAAUAUGAACAAAAUACAAUAUUCAUAUGUGUGACACUGUCAAAGAAUAAACAAUAACACAAUAAGACUAUGAGUUCUUUCACGGAGCAAAAACCAAAGCCAAACAUUUGAGAUCUUCAUUAAUUUGAAUGUGUUAUCAAUUAAGUGCAGAAGUUUUCCCACACCCACCAAUUAAACUCUUACUGGCAAACCCAGAUUGCAAGAUUUGUAUCAGAAAAAUGAUGGUAUUCUCCAACUUCUCUAUUUUCAACCAUUUAUCCCGAAGUUUAAAAUGGGCCGUGGGGGGCAGUCAUGAAAAUCUCUGAGCAGUGAUUCUCAUGGUCUCAGAAAUUGAGUCCUAUCUUGAAAGCUCCAGAUGACAUUCAAUUCGGCUCUGAGCUCUGUUCUAACAGCAAGGCUACCCAACACCAUGCUCUAUCUGGCAGGUCUUUUGGAAGAUGUGUAGACUCUAAGUAGGCCAGAGCUAACACAUUUGCCUUCAAUCAUGGGUGGAAAAUGUGAAACCAGGCUUAUAGAAUGGUGAAAAGAAAACAACAACAAAG